rnacentral:rRNA from 1 species
AUUGAACGCUGGCGGCAGGCCUAACACAUGCAAGUCGAGCGGAUGAAGGGAGCUUGCUCCUGGAUUCAGCGGCGGACGGGUGAGUAAUGCCUAGGAAUCUGCCUGGUAGUGGGGGAUAACGUCCGGAAACGGGCGCUAAUACCGCAUACGUCCUGAGGGAGAAAGUGGGGGAUCUUCGGACCUCACGCUAUCAUAUGAGCCUAGGUCGGAUUAGCUAGUUGGUGGGGUAAAGGCCUACCAAGGCGACGAUCCGUAACUGGUCUGAGAGGAUGAUCAGUCACACUGUCACUGAGACACGGUCCACACUCCUGCGGUAGGCCGCAGUGGGGAAUAUUGGACGAUGCGCGAAAGCCUGAUCCAGCCAUGCCGCGUGUGUGAAGAAGGUCUUCGGAUUGUAAAGCACUUUAGGUUGGGAGGUAGGGCAGUAAGUUAAUACCUUGCUGUUUUGACGUUACCAACAGAAUAAGCACCGGCUAACUUCGUG